UACGGGGGGGGCAAGCGUUGUUCGGAAUUACUGGGCGUAAAGGGCUCGUAGGCGGCCAACUAAGUCGGACGUGAAAUCCCCAGGCUCAACCUGGGAACUGCGUCCGAUACUGGAUGGCUUGAAUCCGGGAGAGGGAUGCAGAAUUCCAGGUGUAGCGGUGAAAUGCGUAGAUAUCUGGAGGAAUACCGGUGGCGAAGGCGGCAUCCUGGACCGCAACUGACGCUGAGGCGCGAAAGCCAGGGGAGCAAACGGG
rnacentral:rRNA from 1 species